UUGAACGCUGGCGGCAUGCCUUACACAUGCAAGUCGAACGGUAACGCGGGGCAACCUGGCGACGAGUGGCGAACGGGUGAGUAAUGCAUCGGAACGUGCCCAGUAGUGGGGGAUAGCCCGGCGAAAGCCGGAUUAAUACCGCAUACGACCUACGGGUGAAAGCGGGGGACUCGCAAGAGCCUCGCGCUAUUGGAGCGGCCGAUGUCAGAUUAGGUAGUUGGUGGGGUAAAGGCCUACCAAGCCGACGAUCUGUAGCUGGUCUGAGAGGACGACCAGCCACACUGGGACUGAGACACGGCCCAGACUCCUACGGGAGGCAGCAGUGGGGAAUUUUGGACAAUGGGCGCAAGCCUGAUCCAGCCAUGCCGCGUGCGGGAAGAAGGCCUUCGGGUUGUAAACCGCUUUUGUCAGGGAAGAAACGCUCUGGGCUAAUACCCUGGGGUAAUGACGGUACCUGAAGAAUAAGCACCGGCUAACUACGU
rnacentral:rRNA from 1 species